rnacentral:rRNA from 1 species
GACGAACGCUGGCGGCGUGCUUAACACAUGCAAGUCGAACGGAAAGGCCCUGCUUUUGUGGGGUGCUCGAGUGGCGAACGGGUGAGUAACACGUGAGUAACCUGCCCUUGACUUUGGGAUAACUUCAGGAAACUGGGGCUAAUACCGGAUAGGAGCUCCUGCUGCAUGGUGGGGGUUGGAAAGUUUCGGCGGUUGGGGAUGGACUGGCGGCUUAUCAGCUUGUUGGGGGGGUAGGGGCUUACCAAGGCUUUGACGGGUAGCCCGCCUGGGAGGGUGACCGGCCACAAUGCGACUGCGAUACGGCCCAGACUGCUACGUGAGGCAGCAGUGGGGAAUAUUGCACAAUGGGCCGAAGUCUGAUGUAGCAACGCCGGGUGCGGGAUGCCGGCCUUCGGGUUGUAAACCGCUGUCGACGGUGAUGAAGCGUGCGUGACGGUAACGGGUAAAGAAGCACCGGCUAACUACGUG